GUUAUAUGGUCAAGUGAAGAAGCGCAUACGGUGGAUGCCUUGGCAGUCAGAGGCGAUGAAAGACGUGGUAGCCUGCGAUAAGCUUUGGGGAGUCGGCAAACAGACUGUGAUCCAGAGAUCUCUGAAUGGGGGAACCCACUCAGCAUAAGCUGAGUAUCUUGUACUGAAUACAUAGGUGCAAGAGGCGAACCAGGGGAACUGAAACAUCUAAGUACCCUGAGGAAAAGAAAUCAACCGAGAUUCCCUUAGUAGUGGCGAGCGAACGGGGACCAGCCCUUAAGUUGGUUUGAGAUUAGUGGAACGCUCUGGAAAGUGCGGCCAUAGUGGGUGAUAGCCCCGUACACGAAAAUCUCUUAUCAAUGAAAUCGAGUAGGACGGAGCACGGAAACUUUGUCUGAACAUGGGGGGACCAUCCUCCAAGGCUAAAUACUACUGACUGACCGAUAGUGAACCAGUACCGUGAGGGAAAGGCGAAAAGAACCCCGGAGAGGGGAGUGAAAUAGAUCCUGAAACCGUAUGCGUACAAGCAGUGGGAGCCUACUUUGUUAGGUGACUGCGUACCUUUUGUAUAAUGGGUCAGCGACUUAUAUUCAGUGGCGAGCUUAACCGAAUAGGGGAGGCGUAGCGAAAGCGAGUCUUAAUAGGGCGUUUAGUCGCUGGGUAUAGACCCGAAACCGGGCGAUCUAUCCAUGGGCAGGUUGAAGGUUAGGUAACACUGACUGGAGGACCGAACCGACUACCGUUGAAAAGUUAGCGGAUGACCUGUGGAUCGGAGUGAAAGGCUAAUCAAGCUCGGAGAUAGCUGGUUCUCCUCGAAAGCUAUUUAGGUAGCGCCUCAUGUAUCACUGUAGGGGGUAGAGCACUGUUUCGGCUAGGGGG
rnacentral:rRNA from 1 species